AUCUGGACAGUUCUCAAUCCCCACCUCCACCCGCGACUCCACCACCGAGUCAUCCUUCCUUUAGUUUUUGGAUGAUCACCGCAAAGACCCCCAAUUCUUCCCCGCAUCUGCCACCAAGCUUGCGAACCGGACCCUCAGCAGGUGGGCGUGUAUUUUCUCCGCGGGAAGGUGGGACGCUCCACUCCGCCCUUGUCUCCUCUGGACGCACUAGCUUGCUGGGUUUGUUUAUUUCCUAAGGUAUUCCUCACCAGCUCCUGAGUUCCUGCGGGGAUGCAGAGCUGGCGUGGAACGCGCUUAGCAAAUGUAUUCGCGCAGCCCUGUGAGUCAGAAUUGUGCAAACUCUGCUGAAUACCUCAUUUCUGCAUUCAUAACCAUGGUAGAUAAGGACAGGGGUUGAGUCUGGGGGUCCUACAACUCCACUUCAAGCCAGAGUUGGGGUAAAGGGUAGCAGAGUCCGCCAGAAACUUGUCCAGGUCCGUGUGGCACAGUAGUACCCUAUGCUGAGAACCGGGUGCCUUGGGACCAGACCUGGGGACAAGAGCAGAGGGCCCUGGAGCUGAGGGACAGCGAAUGGUGCCAGAGCGGUCUCGGGUCCGUGUACCCCCCACAGGAGCUCCCUGCCCCCGGCUGGGCAGGAUGUGGUGGCAGCUGCAGUUGGGUGGGCAGGAUGUGGGGGUGGGGGCAGACAAACACAACCUUACAGUAGUCUCCCCCCCACCCCCAGCUUCUGCCUCCACCCCCUCCGGGUCACGUGCUCCCAGCUUGGGCACCGACGGACUAUUUCUCUUUUUCCGCGGAAGAACAUACCAAACUCAUAGCCUUGGACUUAAGUUGUAUCACGCCAUUUUCUUGCCUCUAUUCCCAGCCUAGGGCAGAAAGUUUGCCCAGGACGUAUUUCUGUAAAGCGCGAAUUAACUCAAGAGAGGCCCCUUUAAAUGCAAAUGAAUCGCCUUCUUGCUCCGCUCCCCCCAACCCCCAUCCCAACUUCUCUCCUCGUGCCCAAACUCCACCAGCUGCUAUUGACGUCAAGCAUGCGUCAGCAUCGCCAGCCCAACCAGACAGCACGUGGGGGAAGAAGGCAAUCUUAAAGGGCCAGUAGCUCAGGGCCUGUUACUGGAGAAAGGAAAAGCGAAGUGGGGUGUUAGAAACUAUAGGAACAGGAAGAAUUGCAGAGACAUUCAGAAGGACUGCAAAAGGCCGACGAAGUGGCUCAGCGGAUAAAGGUGCUUCGGUACCAGCCGGAGAAGCAACUUCCCAGAGUUAUCCUCUGAGCUUCACACAUAACAUCUCUCCCCUGCACACCAUACAAUACUAAUAAAUAUUUUUAAAAAGAA
rnacentral:lncRNA from 1 species